rnacentral:lncRNA from 1 species
GGACUGAGAUGUCUUCACCAAAUGAUGUCAGUAUGGAAGAAAUACCGCUGGAAGACGAGCGAGACAGCAUAGAAUACAAGAUCCUGAUGGCCUAUGCACAGCGGCGGUUGUCUGCCAGCAGAUACAAGAAACUUCUGAAAAAAGAGACAAAUGCACCAAAAUCAUCAUCCUUAAUCAGGAGUGAAUUAGAGAUUCAUCAUCAAGGGGGAAAAGACAGUUCAAGUCAAACAUUGGAAUGCCAGAGUGGCAUGAGGAAGCAGCACAGCAAAAAGAAAAGAAAACAAAAACAUUUAUCAAGAUAUUGUCUACCCUUCUUCUGCAGCAGAGCAGAGCAGGAAAAGCCCCCAAAAACUUCUGUACCUGAAAGUCGCACUUUUGGUACAUGCACUGAGAGCCUUUCAGUAAAGAGUUGUCAUCAUCAGACAAUUGAAAAAGCAGAUGUCAACAACAUUGCGGACCACCCUCCUUCCCAAUCAGGUGAAAAAGCAGAUGUUGACCACAUUGCAGACAAACUUGCCAAGCUCAUUACUUCCAGACCUCAGUCAUCUCCUUCAGGUGUGAUGUUCAAGAUGCUGGUGCAUUCCCAGUCUCUGGAAGAAGAUGGCAAAGAUACUGCUGAGGGAAAUGAGAGUGACGGAAAUGAUGAAGAAAAGACAAUACAACAAAUAGUUGCACUGUUAAGAAAAUCAGGGGAUCAACUAGAAGAAAAGGUAAGUACUUCUGUUUUCAGGAGCUACACAGGUUAG